rnacentral:rRNA from 1 species
GAUGAACGCUGGCGGCGUGCCUAAUACAUGCAAGUCGAGCGAACAGACGAGGAGCUUGCUCCUCUGACGUUAGCGGCGGACGGGUGAGUAACACGUGGAUAACCUACCUAUAAGACUGGGAUAACUUCGGGAAACCGGAGCUAAUACCGGAUAAUAUAUUGAACCGCAUGGUUCAAUAGUGAAAGACGGUUUUGCUGUCACUUAUAGAUGGAUCCGCGCCGCAUUAGCUAGUUGGUAAGGUAACGGCUUACCAAGGCAACGAUGCGUAGCCGACCUGAGAGAGUGAUCGGCCACACUGGAACUGAGACCCGGUCCAUACUCCUACGGGAGGCAGCAGUAGGGAAUCUUCCGCAAUGGGCGGAAGCCUGACGGAGCAACGCCGCGUGAGUGGUGAAGGUCUUCGGAUCGUAAAACUCUGUUAUUAGGGAAGAACAAAUGUGUAAGUAACUAUGCACGUCUUGACGGUACCUAAUCAGAAAGCCACGGCUAACUACGUG